rnacentral:rRNA from 1 species
AACGAACGCUGGCGGCGUGCCUAACACAUGCAAGUCGAACGUGAUUAGAGAGCUUGCUCUCUAUGAAAGUGGCGCACGGGUGAGUAACGCGUAGAUAAUCUGCCUGAUGAUCGGGGAUAACACUUCGAAAGGGGUGCUAAUACCGGAUAAGCUCACGGAGUCCUUGGACUCUGCGAGAAAAGGGGGGGACCUUCGGGCCUUCUGUCAUCAGAUGAGUCUGCGUACCAUUAGCUAGUUGGUAGGGUAAAGGCCUACCAAGGCGACGAUGGUUAGCUGGUCUGAGAGGAUGAUCAGCCACACUGGAACUGAGACACGGUCCAGACUCCUACGGGAGGCAGCAGUGGGGAAUUUUGCGCAAUGGGGGAAACCCUGACGCAGCAACGCCGCGUGAGUGAUGAAGGCUCUUGGGUCGUAAAGCUCUGACAGAGGGAAAGAAAUGUAUUGCGGCUAAUACCUGCGAUACUUGACGGUACCCUCAAAGGAAGCACCGGCUAACUCCGUGCCAGCAGCCGCGGUAAUACGGGGGGUGCAAGCGUUGUUCGGAUUUAUUGGGCGUAAAGCGCGUGUAGGCGGUUUGGUAAGUCUGAUGUGAAAGCCCUGGGCUCAACCCGGGAAGUGCAUUGGAUACUGUCAGACUUGAAUACGGGAGAGGGCAGUGGAAUUCCUAGUGUAGGAGUGAAAUCCGUAGAUAUUAGGAGGAACACCGGUGGCGAAGGCGGCUGCCUGGACCGAUAUUGACGCUGAGACGCGAAAGCGUGGGUAGCAAACAGGAUUAGAUACCCUGGUAGUCCACGCCGUAAACGAUGAGAACUAGGUGUUGCGGGUAUUGACCCCUGCAGUGCCGUAGCUAACGCAUUAAGUUCUCCGCCUGG